GACGUAGGGCGCGAGCGUUGUCCGGAUUUAUUGGGCGUAAAGAGCUCGUAGGCGGCUUGUUGCGUCAGCUGUGAAAACCCGCAGCUCAACUGUGGGCUUGCAGCUGAUACGGGCAGGCUUGAGUUCGGUAGGGGAGACUGGAAUUCCUGGUGUAGCGGUGAAAUGCGCAGAUAUCAGGAGGAACACCGGUGGCGAAGGCGGCUUCCUGGACCGACACUGACGCUGAGGCGCGAAAGCUAGGGGAGCAAACGGG
rnacentral:rRNA from 1 species